rnacentral:rRNA from 1 species
GACGAACGCUGGCGGCAUGCCUAAUACAUGCAAGUCGAGCGGACUUGAAGAGAAGCUUGCUUCUCUGAUGGUUAGCGGCGGACGGGUGAGUAACACGUAGGCAACCUGCCCUCAAGCUUGGGACAACUACCGGAAACGGUAGCUAAUACCGAAUACUUGUUUUCUUCGCCUGAAGGAAACUGGAAAGACGGAGCAAUCUGUCACUUGGGGAUGGGCCUGCGGCGCAUUAGCUAGUUGGUGAGGUAACGGCUCACCAAGGCGACGAUGCGUAGCCAGCCUGAGAGGGUGAUCGGCCACACUGGGACUGAGACACGGCCCAGACUCCUACGGGAGGCAGCAGUAGGGAAUCUUCCGCAAUGGGCGAAAGCCUGACGGAGCAAUGCCGCGUGAGUGAUGAAGGUUUUCGGAUCGUAAAGCUCUGUUGCCAGGGAAGAACGCUUGGGAGAGUAACUGCUCCCAAGGUGACGGUACCUGAGAAGAAAGCCCCGGCUAACUACGUGCCAGCAGCCGCAGUAA